GCAGAAUGAAAGAAAAUUUACAAGGGAAAGAAAAGAAAAGAAUGUGAAGUAUAUUGAAAAUAAAAACAGCCAUGUAGAAGAUUUCAAUUUCCCCAAAGACAACCCCUUUUUGACUAUGAGGUUGAGCGAGAAACAAAGCUGAAGGACCCAUAGCACCACUCCUUUUGAGUCUCCUGGCUGCAGAAAGAAGAGCUUCGAAACAGAGUGCAGGUAAGGGAAGACAUGAACUUCCAAUUAAUUGGAAAAAGUCUUGACAACUUUA
rnacentral:lncRNA from 1 species